CCUACGGGUGGCAGCAGUGAGGAAUAUUGGUCAAUGGACGAGAGUCUGAACCAGCCAAGUAGCGUGAAGGAUGACUGCCCUAUGGGUUGUAAACUUCUUUUAUAUGGGAAUAAAAUGUUCCACGUGUGGGAUUUUGUAUGUACCAUAUGAAUAAGUAUCGGUUAACUCCGUGCCAGCAGCCGCGGUAAUACGGAGGAUCCGAGCGUUAUCCGGAUUUAUUUGGUUUAAAGGGAGCGUAGGUGGAUUGUUAAGUCAGUUGUGAACAUUUGGGGCCAAACCGUAAAAUUGCAGUUGAAACUGGCAGGCUUGAGUACGGUAGAGGUGGGCGGAAUUCGUGGGGUAGCGGUGAAAUGCUUAGAUAUCACGAAGAACUCCGAUUGCGAAGGCAGCUCACUGGACUGCAACUGACACUGAGGCUCGAAAGUGUGGGUAUCAAACAGGAUUAGAUACCCGGGUAGUC
rnacentral:rRNA from 1 species